CUAGAACACCCCAUGGAUUUAGGAGCCACUGGUAAGGUUAUGACUUCCCCCAUUGGAUGAAAUAAAUGGACUCAGGAAGGAAUAAAACCCAAGGUCUCCUCUUCACCAGCAUCAUUCAGAACCACCUCACUCCUCAGGGGCCACAGAAGUGCUGAAUAAAAUGAAAAGGACAAUCUCCGAAGACUUUUUAUUUAAAAAAAAAAUUUUCAGCAGUGAAAUAGUUGUUUCACUGGGAAGAAGGUCCACUCCGCUGCUCAUACCACCAUCCUGGAAGUCAAUCUGAUUGAGUUUUAUAAGAAAAGAAAAGUCAUGGAUACCUUGAAGUCAACAGCACUCAAAGAAUCAUAGUGCAUGACAUCAGACUGUCAAUGUGGGAAGUGAAAACACGUAAUGGGAAAGUCUCAUUGUUGACAGUUUUUCUAUUGGUGUCAUAUGCCAGUGCUCUCUUUCAUAAACUUGGUGCACCCAGCAGAAGGAAACAAUAUCACUGAAAUGCAGCUAAGAGUUGAUCCAGAAUUCUCUCCUGCUUUGGAAAUGAAAUCCUUGAUACCUAACUAUGAAAUUUAGCCAUACUGAUUAAAAGCACCUGCUAGAGGCUGCAGAGAAUAAAGCAAACAAUUACACUUAAA